AAAAACAUAAAGCUGAAUAAUGCAGAAUCCUUGUUCUAGUUGUGCUCAUCACCAGAGGUGGAGGCAGGACUGUAAACAGACAAAUAAGAGAACAAUCCCGUGAGUCCUUCUCAGGGAUAAGCAGAGUUUCUUGUACUAUUCAAGGCCAGAUAUUAGACAGACUAACACUGCCUAGCAGACAUAGGCAAGUUUCACCAAGCCGAUGAAAUUGAUCUUGAACUUUUGGUGAGAGAAAGGAAGAAAGGUCAUUUUAGAAGUGAGUGGAAUGUGCAAAGGAACAAAGACAGGUCUUCCUAGUCACCUUAUGGUUGAACCAAUUCUGACCAAUGAUUUGUCAGCAGAAGUGAUGAAUGUUAUGGAUAAUCCGCAAUGUUUAAUAGUGGGUGUGAGACACCCUUCUCUCACUUCUCUUUUCCCUCUGACACGUCAAAAACUGAGAUGUUAUUUGCUUCCUGAGACUGACCUCUGAGGCACUACAAUUAACAGAGCUUCCCUACCUCCCCCAAGAUUUUCUAAUUUGAGGAAGAAAUAAGCCUUUGUUCUCUGAGUCAGUAAGGUUUGUGUGGUAUUAGUUACCUGAGAAUAACCUUGUCUAUCCUAGUCUAUCCUGUAUUCAAUCGCUAAAGUUAAAUAAAAUAAAAUAUAAGAAAACAUUUUAUUUGCCAGAAAUCACUACAUAAAUAUUUAUUGUUAUACUCUUAAUUACAAUCAGGUGUCAAAAUGUUGAAAAUUACAAUACAUUAAAAGGAAUAUCAGGAAUGUUUUCUAAUGGGAAAAAUUGGGAAGAUAAUUUAAACAUGAUUUUUUAUAUAGUAUAC
rnacentral:lncRNA from 10 species